AAACAGGGGUCAGUGGCCGGGGGCUGCCGGCGCGGGCUUUGGCCUAGCGGCCUGGGCUGGAAGGCCCGGAAGAGCAGGCCGGCCCAGGGCUGCGGGCGAAGGGCAGGCUGCAUGGCCGCGCGAGUCUCGGGAUCUCGCUGCCCUCCGCACGUGUGACGAUUGAGCUGCCACGGGGCGGAAGAGCCUGCGCCCCAGCUCGCCGGGCCUGCAGUCCGAGCCGAGGGCGCAGAGGGCGGCGGGCGCGCGGCCAGCCUGGCCCCCUUCCCGGGGCCGGCCCUGGGGGCCCGCAGCGCCCACCCUGGCCUGGCACUCCUUUCGUGUGUCCCGAAGUCGUCGCCCGUCCCGCGCACGCCGCCUGGCUUUCUCACCUUCUCGCCCAGGCCUCACGUCUCCCCGGGCAAAUGGGGCCCAGCUCCCUGCAUGGGGCAGGGAGGCCGGGCCCAGGCGUCCAGAGCGCUCGUGGGGGGCGCGAGUGGUCGAGGGACCGGGCCCCCCACUGGGCCCAGGACCAGGGCCCGAGCGUGGGGAGGGCGCGACUCCUAGGGUAGGCGGGCGUGGUGGGGCACGGCUGGCUGCUGGCCGGCCGGCGCCGUGGUUCCCGUCCCGUGGAACUUCUCGGUGCGUCUGCGAGUGGAAUGGUGACCUGGACACGGGAAGCGUGAGACAGUGACCUGGAAGGCCACCCUGGGUGGAGGAGGCUGGAGCGCAGCCACCCAGGCAAAGCUGCUUCUGGGGACGAGGGGACCCAGAGGUGCACCACAGACAGGUCGCAGGGAAGUGCAACAAGCUUGUUUUCCCGGGUGUUUAAAAUGCAGCCCCAGUUGUAAAGUGUGUGAAAUUACGCACUGGUCUCUUAAAGAGUGCCUAAUUUAUAGUAAAUAGCGAGGUCUUUGUAAAUGGC